UUAUGUAUUUUUCAGCUUGAAUACAUGUCUCACUGGCAGUCCAUAUGUCUGCUCUGAAAUGGAUGCCAAAGCCAUUGCAGACUCAGCAAGUGCAUAUGGUGCAUCAGAGCCCAUUCCUAGCUCGGCUGACAAAUGGUUCUUUUACAGCAAGUAAACAACAAGAGACAACAGAUGACAGAUUACUACAUGGGAGGAUGUACUUAGCUAAUACACAUUGUAUAAUAUGUUCUGUAAAAUGAAGUGUGUUUGAGGUGAAUCAUCUAUUAAACUUUAUUCAAGGAGUGUUUAAUCGGUGUGUUGUGUCACUUGUAUGUUGUAGCUAUAGUUGUUAGGGAA